UACAGAGGGGGCAAGCGUUAUUCGGAAUUAUUGGGUUUAAAGGGUGCGUAGGCGGUCCUAUAAGUCAGUGCUGAAAUAUCCCGGCUUAACCGGGAGGGUGGCAUUGAUACUGCAGGACUUGAGUAAAGUUGAGGUUGGCGGAAUUGACGGUGUAGCGGUGAAAUGCUUAGAUAUCGUCAAGAACACCUAUUGCGAAGGCAGCUCGCUGGGACGUUACUGACGCUGAGACGCGAAAGCGUGGGGAGCAAACAGG
rnacentral:rRNA from 1 species